UAUUUAAAUAGCUUAUUUAGAGCAUGAUAUUGAAGAUAUCAGGGAAACAUUAUGUUUUUAAGUAU
rnacentral:tRNA from 1 species